CUGGGAUGCCCUGGGUUUCCUCACCUUUUACUAUGUGAGAGAGGGACAGAGGAUGGGAAUACUGGAGAGGUAAGCAAACUAUUCGUAAACCAUGUAUACUAUCUCAGGCUUUGCACCCAAGUAAGGACAUUAUGGUGAAAAAGAUCAAGUCCUUGAUCACGGCCCAGAGGAAGAGACACAAUCACAGGGAACAGGGUCAGGGAAAGCACCAAGGGUAUUUGAGCAGGGUCUUGAGAUGGUCUUGGAUCAUCCAGAUGGGCCUGAUGUAAUCACAGAAGUCUUCAUAAGAGGGGCUCAGGAAGGUCAGACAGAAGAGAAGGCAGUGUGAUGACGGAGGCAAAGACUGGAGUGAUACAGCCACAAGCCAAGGAGUGAUGGUAGCCUCUAGAAUUUCACCAGGAAGAGAAGGGACGGGAGUGUGGCCAUUUACCUCCCAUCACAGCCAGUCCUCUGCUCCUCCAACUGAAAGAUAAAAUGGCCACACACAUGUCACUGCGCCAGUGCCAUCUGGAAGCUCACCUCAGGCGCCAGGGCACCCCGAGCCCCAUCAGCCACUCUCUGAGGAGACACUUUGUUGAUCCUGUGUACUUUUCUCAACUCAAUGCCCUUCCAGAUGCAGAGGGACGAAGGCCAACCUUCUCUUUCCCCUGAGGCCUGGCUUGAAG
rnacentral:lncRNA from 1 species